GACGAACGCUGGCGGCGUGCUUAACACAUGCAAGUCGAACGAUGAAGCUGGAGCUUGCUCCGGUGGAUUAGUGGCGAACGGGUGAGUAACACGUGAGCAAUCUGCCCUUGACUCUGGGAUAACUGCGGGAAACUGUAGCUAAUACCGGAUACGAGGCUCGAAGGCAUCUUCGGGUCUGGAAAGAAUUUCGGUCAAGGAUGAGCUCGCGGCCUAUCAGCUUGUUGGUGAGGUAAUGGCUCACCAAGGCGACGACGGGUAGCCGGCCUGAGAGGGUGACCGACCACACAGGGACUGAGACACGGCCCAGACUCCUACGGGAGGCAGCAGUGGGGAAUAUUGCACAAUGGGCGAAAGCCUGAUGCAGCAACGCCGCGUGAGGGAUGAAGGCCUUCGGGUUGUAAACCUCUUUUAGCAGGGAAGAAGCGAAAGUGACGGUACCUGCAGAAAAAGCACCGGCUAACUACGUGCCAGCCGCCGCGGUAA
rnacentral:rRNA from 1 species